rnacentral:rRNA from 1 species
AAACCGCUCAGAGGUAAACGGGUGGUUCCGCAAAGUCAGCCGGUGGAAUUCAGCGCGGCGUUCGGCCUGGAGCUGCCACGGGGUCGGGAUCCAUAGGACCUACCCGAGGCGGAACCGGGUCUCGCCGCGUGCACUUUCCGCCGGCAGAGCGCUACGAUCGGUUUCUGGGCGGCGAUUAGCCCUGCUGCUUUCGCGUGGCGCGGUCUUCGGGCCGUGCCUCGGGCGGCGGUGGUGAGCUGCUCGGGGACCGAGGAACGGCCGUUCGCUUCGAGGCUUCCCGGCCUCGCGGGGGAGUUCGACUGGCGGGGACUGGGUAACCGUGCCUGCCGACCGCUCUCCUGCGCCGGACCGGGUGUGCCGGGCGAACAUGGGGUCAGUGGCGAGUCUGUCGGCCUACCACCCGACCCGUCUUGAAACACGGACCAAGGAGUCUAACAUGUGCGCGAGUCAUUGGGCUGUACGAAACCCAAAGGCGCAGUGAAAGCGAGGGUCGCCUCGGGCUGACCCAGGUGGGAUCCUUCUUGCUCUCGGGCAGGGAGGCGCACCACCGGCCCGUCCCGUCUGCGUUGUCAGUGGGGCGGAGCAGGAGCGUACACGCUGGGACCCGAAAGAUGGUGAACUAUGCCUGAGUAGAACGAAGCCAGAGGAAACUCUGGUGGAAGUCCGUAGCGAUUCUGACGUGCAAAUCGAUCGUCAAACUUUGGUAUAGGGGCGAAAGACUAAUCGAACCAUUUAGUAGCUGGUUC